GCCUCCCCGCGCCUCCUCCACGCCGCCGCCCCUGCACGUCCACCACGCCGCCGGACCCCGCGCCUCCUCCACGCCGUCAGCUCGUGCACGUCCACCCCACCAGCCCCGCGCCUCCACCAUCGGACAACCGGCUCCGUCACCUAGCCCUCCAGGAUCUCCACUGCCCCGGAGCCGCUCGGGCACGCCGCUCUUAUUGGAGCUCGCCGGCUUGCUGUGCUGGAGCUGCUCGGGACGCUGCCCGCUCGACUCACCCGGCCUCCUCCACACAUGGACUUGUGAGCAAGCACCAGGAAAUUGGAAGGUGCACAUAUCACUAUUUUUCGCAAAAGGUUAUUCAGUGGUGAACUAGCUGCCACCAACUCCACCGCGGUGCUCGUGGAAUGGAAGGUUGUGUCCUGCUUUCCCGCAUCACCUUUCAGGAGUAUGAGUUGAAGCUGAAGCCUAUGGUUGCUGGUGUGCAGGGUGCUAGUGGCUUAGAGAUCAUCAGCCAGUAGCAUUUCUUGGUGUUAAUCUGAGACUGUUGGACAACAAUCCAAAUGAUAUUGCCAUGUACAUAAAUUUCAGUGAUGUUGCUGAUAUCAUGUUUUGCUAUCGUAGCAUCUGUUAUUUGAGAUGGAUAUUAUUGCCUUUCAUUACCUAGGACAAACACAAUAAAGGAAUUAUUCCAUAGUAAAAUAGCAUGGAAAUUGACAGAA